ACCGCAUAGUUUCAGUUUCCGCAUGGAAGCCGAAGGAAAGACGGCCUUUGUGCUGUCACUUGGAGAUGGACCCGCGGCGCAUUUAGUUAGUUGGUAGGGUAACGGCCUACCAAGACGAUGAUGCGUAGCCGACCUGAGAGGGUGAUCGGCCACAUUGGGACUGAGACACGGCCCAAACUCCUACGGGAGGCAGCAGUAGGGAAUCUUCCGCAAUGGACGAAAGUCUGACGGAGCAACGCCGCGUGAGUGAAGAAGGUUUUCGGAUCGUAAAACUCUGUUGUUGGAGAAGAACAAGUAGGAGAGUAACUGCUCUUACCUUGACGGUACCCAACCAGAAAGCCACGGCUAACUACGUGCCAGCAGCCGCGGUAAUACGUAGGUGGCAAGCGUUGUCCGGAUUUAUUGGGCGUAAAGCGAGCGCAGGCGGUUCCUUAAGUCUGAUGUGAAAGCCCACGGCUCAACCGUGGAAGGUCAUUGGAAACUGGGGAACUUGAAUACAGAAGAGGAGAGUGGAAUUCCAUGUGUAGCGGUGAAAUGCGUAGAUAUAUGGAGGAACACCAGUGGCGAAGGCGGCCUUCUGGCCUUGACCUGACGCUGAGGAGCGAAAGCCAGGGUAGCGAACGGGAUUAGAUACCCCGGUAGUCCUGGCCGUAAACGAUGGACACUAGGUGUAGGUGGUUUCAAAACCAUCUGUACCGCAGCUAACGCAUUAAGUGUCCCGCCUGGGGAGUACGGUCGCAAGGCUGAAACUCAAAUGAAUUGACGG
rnacentral:rRNA from 1 species